CUGCCUUGGUAGUGGGGGACAGACGUUUCGAAAGGAACGCUAAUACCGCAUACGUCCUACGGGAGAAAGUGGGGGAUCUUCGGACCUCACGCUAUCAGAUGAGCCUAGGUCGGAUUAGCUAGUUGGUGAGGUAAAGGCUCACCAAGGCGACGAUCCGUAACUGGUCUGAGAGGAUGAUCAGUCACACUGGAACUGAGACACGGUCCAGACUCCUACGGGAGGCAGCAGUGGGGA
rnacentral:rRNA from 1 species